rnacentral:rRNA from 1 species
CACCUCUAGCAUCACUAGUAUUAGAGGCACUGCCUGCCCAGUGACAUUAGUUUAACGGCCGCGGUAUCCUGACCGUGCAAAGGUAGCAUAAUCAUUUGUUCCUUAAUUAGGGACUUGUAUGAAUGGCCUCACGAGGGUUUAACUGUCUCUUACUUUUAAUCAGUGAAAUUGACCUUCCCGUGAAGAGGCGGGAAUGCAAAAAUAAGACGAGAAGACCCUAUGGAGCUUAAAUUAAAGUGUCCAACAGAACCCAAACUUAACCCAACAGGGAUAAUAAUACUCUAACUGGACAACAAAUUUUGGUUGGGGUGACCUCGGAGUAUAAUAAAACCUCCGAGCGAUUUUAACCAAGACUUACCCGUCAAGGUUAUAUAAUUUAUUGAUCCAAUCAUAUUGAUCAACGAAACAAGUUACCCUAGGGAUAACAGCGCAAUCCUAUUCAAGAGUUCAUAUCGACAAUAGGGUUUACGACCUCGAUGUUGGAUCAGGACACCCAAAUGGUGCAGCAGCUAUUAAAGGUUCGUUUGUUCAA